rnacentral:rRNA from 1 species
UGGGGAAUUUUGCGCAAUGGGGGAAACCCUGACGCAGCAACGCCGCGUGGAGGAUGAAAUCCCUUGGGAUGUAAACUCCUUUCGACCGGGAAGAUGAUGACGGUACCGGUGGAAGAAGCACCGGCUAACUCUGUGCCAGCAGCCGCGGUAAUACAGAGGGUGCGAGCGUUGUUCGGAAUUAUUGGGCGUAAAGGGCGCGUAGGCGGUGCGGUAAGUCACUUGUGAAAUCUCCCGGCUCAACCGGGAGCUUGCAGGCGAAACUGCCGUGCUGGAGUAUGGGAGAGGUGCGUGGAAUUCCUGGUGUAGCGGUGAAAUGCGUAGAUAUCAGGAGGAACACCUGUGGCGAAAGCGGCGCACUGGACCAUAACUGACGCUGAUGCGCGAAAGCUAGGGGAGCAAAC